GACGUAGGGCGCGAGCGUUGUCCGGAUUUAUUGGGCGUAAAGAGCUCGUAGGCGGCUUGUCGCGUCGACCGUGAAAACUCGCAGCUCAACUGCGAGCCUGCGGUCGAUACGGGCAGGCUAGAGUUCGGUAGGGGAGACUGGAAUUCCUGGUGUAGCGGUGAAAUGCGCAGAUAUCAGGAGGAACACCGAUGGCGAAGGCAGGGCUCUGGGCCAUAACUGACGCUGAGAAGCGAAAGCAUGGGGAGCGAACAGG
rnacentral:rRNA from 1 species